rnacentral:rRNA from 1 species
ACUUGAAUUGAAGAGUUUGAUCAUGGCUCAGAUUGAACGCUGGCGGCAGGCUUAACACAUGCAAGUCGAACGGUAACAUAAAGAAGCUUGCUUCUUUGAUGACGAGUGGCGGACGGGUGAGUAAUGCUUGGGAAUCUAGCUUAUGGAGGGGGAUAACUACGGGAAACUGUAGCUAAUACCGCGUA